rnacentral:tRNA from 1 species
UAUAGCUCAAUAGUAGAGCAUUUGCCUGGUAUGCAUGAGGUCUUAGGUUCAAUCCCUGAUA